CAGAGUAGACGAUGGGGCGUCAAGUGCCUGCAAAACGGGGAGUUGUUUGCCGGACGAAAGCCUUGUGCUGCGGUCCCAUCGUUGCAUCCCGCUG
rnacentral:ncRNA from 1 species